CCCAGACUCCUACGGGAGGCAGCAGUGGGGAAUAUUGGGCAAUGGGCGCAAGCCUGACCCAGCAACGCCGCGUGAAGGAAGAAGGCUUUCGGGUUGUAAACUUCUUUUCUCAGGGACGAAUAGAUGACGGUACCUGAGGAAUAAGCCACGGCUAACUACGUGCCAGCAGCCGCGGUAAUACGUAGGUGGCAAGCGUUAUCCGGAUUUACUGGGUGUAAAGGGCGUGUAGGCGGGGACGCAAGUCAGAUGUGAAAACCACGGGCUCAACCUGUGGCCUGCAUUUGAAACUGUGUUUCUUGAAUACUGGAGAGGCAGACGGAAUUCCUAGUGUAGCGGUGAAAUGCGUAGAUAUUAGGAGGAACACCAGUGGCGAAGGCGGUCUGCUGGACAGCAACUGACGCUGAGGCGCGAAAGCGUGGGGAGCAAACAGGAUUAGAUACCCCGGUA
rnacentral:rRNA from 1 species